AACCCUUCCAUUCUCUCAGUGUAGUCUGCCGAUUUAUCUCCAUCAUCAUUCUCCUUCGAACCGUGUUAACUCAUCUCCUUCAAAUUGUGUUCCCAUUCGAUCCCUAAUUCCCUUCCAUGACUGUUUUUUUCUUUCUUCUUCUUCUUCUCCCUUUUUCCCUUCGAUUCCGAUUUCUCUUCCUUUUGGUUUAGAUGUAUCGUCGUUUGGUUUUGUUGGCGAAAAAGUUUAUCCCCCUUCUAUAGGAAAAACCCCCUUCUUCUCCCUUUUUCCUUUCUUUUUCGUAAAAGUUGUAUUGUACUCAAACAUUGAAGAUAUUUUUUUUUUCAUUUUUAAUUUAUGUUAGGCAUGUUCACAUCGUUAACAAGUUUUGUUAAAUGUGAUCAAUCUUUUUUGUCUUGAUCUUUCUGGUAAAAAAAAAAAAGAGACGCUAUGGAGAUAAUGUUAAAGGCUAUCGAGUCACUGGGGUGAAGUCUUUUUUUAAAAUUUCUUAUAAGUGCCAACAAAUUAGCGCAUCUCAUUGAUUGAGAAGCAAUCAUUUUUUCUUUUGUCUUGGAAGCUAUUUCUGGAAUUGUAAUUAUCUUGAGUGGUUCUCCUCUAUGCUAAGUGAGGAGUGUUGUUGUGUUCCUAACUUCUUUAGUCUAGUUUGAGUGAAGUUUUGUUUAUAUAACUAUUUGUUUAUUUAUUAUCAGUUGUUAUUAGAAGCUGAUAAAGCAUAGGGGUGGAAAAGAUAAACAUGAUGAAUCUGACAAAGGUUUAUUCUCCCAUCUGACUCAUGGUGUUGCUCAUGGAGCUGGAUAUCAUUCUCAUGGAUACCCUAAAAAUCUUCUUUAGCGAGGGAGUAUAAGAAAAAUUUGGUGGUAGUGAGUCCAAACACCAAAGAGCAGUGUAGUGAAGUUUUCAUUGCUAAACAGGCUCUCCUAGCAGCAAGGAACUCUACUGCUACUGUUUUUACUGGAACUUUUGGUGCACUUGCAAUUAUUUACCAGACAUCUGAGCAACAACACUACGUCAGUAGCCAUGAGCUUAUUGAAGGUUGAAGGUUGAAGACUGAGAAAACUGAGAAGAUUGUUUAGAUAGCCAGGCGAUCGUUGAAAGUGAAGGAAAAAACAUCAAAAAGCAUGCAGCAGCAGAAGAAAAGAAUCAUGCUUUACUCUAUAUGCAUUUAAACGAUUUAGAAAAUAACAUGCAACUAAUAAAUGAUGGACCUAAACGAAGAAUGUAAAAGGUAAACGAUGGGCUUACCUUUUGUAGUUCUCAACUUCUUCUUCGAACCAAAGCUUCUUCUCUGCCUGAAGAUCACGAGCAAGGACAACCACUAUGUUGACCUACUAAUCUUAGGACCAAGAACCGAGUUGUGGGACUCGUUUUUGUGAAAUAAAACUUUUAGAGAGAAAGGGUGGAGGUAGGUGUAUCGUUUAGGUAAUUUAUAAGAAAAUAUCACCCUCUUUUCAUUCUAUAAUGAGAAGUUUAUAUAUAAAAUUUACAUGCAAAUUGC